ACGGAGGGUGCAAGCGUUAAUCGGAAUUACUGGGCGUAAAGCGCACGUAGGCGGUUUGAUAAGUUGGAUGUGAAAGCCCCGGGCUUAACCUGGGAACUGCACCCAAUACUGUCAAGCUAGAGUACGGUAGAGGGGGGUAGAAUUCCACGUGUAGCGGUGAAAUGCGUAGAGAUGUGGAGGAAUACCAGUGGCGAAGGCGGCCCCCUGGACUGAUACUGACGCUGAGGUGCGAAAGCGUGGGGAGCAAACAGG
rnacentral:rRNA from 1 species